rnacentral:pre_miRNA from 1 species
AGUGUUAUAGCUGAGUCAAAUGGUGGUUAUAUUCCAAGUUUUCUAAGGUAUCUCUGUACGGCUUUUCAAAGUGGUUGUACCAUUUUGCAAUCCCACUAGGAAU